rnacentral:lncRNA from 1 species
UUAAUCAAAAAAGCAUAUGCAACAAUUUUAUUUCCAAAAUAAUUUGCACACAUAUCUUUAUUGAAAUAAAAAUUAUAGUUAUCCUGUGCCAGCACAGAUAUAGAAAUUAAAUUUUUACUGGCUAUAAAUACACAAUAGCCAUCUUUUAAUAAUAAUCUAUAUCCUAACAACAGCCGUAGAAGAUAGGUUCCGAUGACCACAGCAGCAACUCUUACUCCAUU